CUCAGGGCAGGGUGCAAUUCCCGACCGGCGGUAUACCCCGCGAGCUUGCAAAAGCAUGAUCUGGUGAAAUUCCAGGGGCGACAGUAAAGGCUGGAUGGAAGAGA
rnacentral:ncRNA from 1 species